GCGGUCCACAGCGGACCUCGCGCCGGCGGUACCAGGCUGGGACAUCCACCCUUUGGACACCUCUGUCCCUCCGAUGCCCCAGUGAUGACCUAGGACAUGGGUCCCCAACUUCUGUCCCCUCUUAGACCCCGUCCUUCGCAGGGCCACUGGCUGCGACCACCUUGACCUGCGGCAGGACACCAGGAGAUCUCAGGCCCAGCCCGCGCCCCGACCAGCCCUUGAACAGUAUGUCCUGCCGCCCCUCCUCCCCGCUCCAGCGCCCGCUCUUCUCCCUCCGCGCCCGGCCCCUCGCGGGUCACCGGCCCCCUGCAGCCUCCGCCCCUGGCUGUGACCGCCCCGGCUGCCGUCUCCAGGGCGCGGACCGACGCGGGAAGCGGGUCGGCGAGGGACGGGGACACAGAGCGCCGAAAUCCAUGUGGAAUCCAACACUGGGAGACAAUGCUGCGAGCGAAGGAAGGAAGACAAAAAGCUAAAGGAGCAGCCCUGCCCGUCGUUCCAAUUCUCCAGAAGUUCCUGAGAACGUAUGAGAAGCACUGUGCACAGACUCGGACGUCCGUGUGCCUGGCCGUCAAGAGGGACCUGAAAGCUGGCAUUGACAAUGGACAGAUUCUCAGGAAGUUUAUACUUGUAAGACCUGAUGACUCCCCGCCAAGCAUCCCACCGAUUUCCUUGGAACCUUUGCUUAUGACAAUUCGAGAAGAGUGUUACACGCUGGGGAAAGAGAUCUGCAUCUGGGGCCUUCAACUGAGCAACCCAGAGAUUGCCAGACUCGCUUCGCUUCUGGAGUUGAAGGGGCGCAGCACCUGCCCAUUUACCACCCUAGAGCUCAUUGAUUGCAAGAUGGAUCCGUGGUCUCUCGGGAGACUUGGGGAGGCUCUGCAGUUCAGCAGUUUGCACUCUCUUGUCCUGGAUUACUGCAACUUUGGAAUUGAAGAAAUUGAGCGUAUUUUCUUGGGCCUGGAGAACAACCAAAGGCUCCAAGGCCUCAGCCUGCGUUACUGUGGUCUGGGGCCACGGAGCGGGCCAGCGCUGGGCUCAGUCGUAAGCCAGAGUGCUGUCCGUGAGCUGCACCUCGACGGCAAUUACUUGCAAUGUUCUGGAGCUCUGGCUCUGCUCAGACCCCUAGCAGAGUAUGCAGAGAUGCAGGGCAAAGGCUGGCCCACCAUAUCCUCACCAGACGCCAGGAAUCCCCCUCAGCUUCUCGGAGUCAGCCACAGAGCAAGUUCAACUUUGAACCCGAUUACAAAGUCAUCUGGAGCUGUAACAGUGAAAACUACUUCAGGGAAGAAUAAGAGAAAGAAAGGAAUCAAGAAAAAAGUUAAAGGUUUGACUGAAGCUGGUCCUUGGUUAGUGAAAUUGCAUUUGGCAGAUAAUGGCAUAGAUGGAAAAGGAAACGAAGGAGAAAAAGGCUUGUUGGAAUUCACUCAGAUUUUAACAUGGGAAAUUGACCUUGGAAACAAUGGCCUGGGAGAAAGGGCUGCUGCUGACAUACUUGAAGCACUGCGAGCCAGAAAGACAGGUAAACUGCCAGUCUUAAAACUUACAGUCACUCCUCAGAUCUCCUCAGACACCUUCCGAUCUAUUUGGAAAAAUAGCAAGAAAUCUAAUAUUACCCG
ensembl:lncRNA